rnacentral:rRNA from 1 species
UUUAAAGGGAGCGCAGGCGGGAUUUUAAGCGUGUUGUGAAAUGUAACGGCUCAACCGUUGAAUUGCAGCGCGAACUGGAGUCCUUGAGUGAGUACGACGUCAGCGGAAUUCGUGGUGUAGCGGUGAAAUGCUUAGAUAUCACGAAGAACUCCGAUUGCGAAGGCAGCUGACGAGUCCUUAACUGACGCUAAAGCUCGAAAGUGCGGGUAUCGAACAGGAUUAGAUACCCUGGUAGUCCGCACGGUAAACGAUGGAUGCCCGCUGUUGGCGAUAUACAGUCAGCGGCCAAGCGAAAGCGUUAAGCAUCCCACCUGGGGAGUACGCCGGCAACGGUGAAACUCAAAGGAAUUGACGGGGGCCCGCACAAGCGGAGGAACAUGUGGUUUAAUUCGAUGAUACGCGAGGAACCUUACCCGGGCUUGAACUGCAGGGGAACGAUCCAGAGAUGGUGAGGUCAGCAAUGACUCCUGUGGAGGUGCUGCAUGGUUGUCGUCAGCUCGUGCCGUGAGGUGUCGGCUUAAGUGCCAUAACGAGCGCAACCCUUUUCUCUAGUUGCCAUCAGGUAGAGCUGGGCACUCUGGAGACACUGCCACCGUAAGGUGUGAGGAAGGUGGGGAUGACGUCAAAUCAGCACGGCCCUUACGUCCGGGGCUACACACGUGUUACAAUGGGUGAUACAGAGAGUUAGUCGUUCGCAAGAACGGUUUAAUCAAGAAAGUCAUCCUCAGUUCGGAUUGGGGUCUGCAACCCGACCCCAUGAAGCUGGAUUCGCUAGUAAUCGCGCAUCAGCCAUGGCGCGGUGAAUACGUUCCCGGGCCUUGUACACACCGCCCGUCAAGCCAUGAAAGCUGGGGGCGCUUGAAGUCCGUGA